GACGAACGCUGGCGGCGUGCUUAACACAUGCAAGUCGAGCGGUAAGGCCCUUUCGGGGGUACACGAGCGGCGAACGGGUGAGUAACACGUGGGUGACCUGCCCUCAGCUCUGGGAUAAGCCCGGGAAACUGGGUCUAAUACUGGAUAUGACUCCACGGUGCAUGCCCGUGGGGUGGAAAGCCUUGUGCGGCUGAGGAUGGGCCCGCGGCCUAUCAGCUUGUUGGUGGGGUGAUGGCCUACCAAGGCGACGACGGGUAGCCGGCCUGAGAGGGCGACCGGCCACACUGGGACUGAGACACGGCCCAGACUCCUACGGGAGGCAGCAGUGGGGAAUCUUGCG
rnacentral:rRNA from 1 species